rnacentral:lncRNA from 1 species
CGAGGGGCGGUCGCUGUCGCCCAGGCCGGAGGGGGGAGCCUGGAGGAGGCCAGGUGCGACACAGCCCCGCCGCACCCACCGGCCGCCACGGCUUAUAAACACCGGGGGCGACGGGACCGGACGGGACGGAGGCGGCGGGAGGGACCGCGCCGGGCUGGAGCCUCCGCGCCGGGCGGGAGCGGCCCAGGAUUUUAUCUCAUACAGAUGUGAAGCUCCUGAACCAGAAACUCCUAUUUCCAAGGGCACCCAAGGAGAUGAGGUUUUUAGGCUGUCACAGGAACAGACACUCCUAACACGUGAAAGCUGGGAUCUGGGACACCCACGAGGGCUGCUUGGCUGAGGACAAGAAGAUCAGGACCCU